GACGAAGGGGGCUAGCGUUGUUCGGAAUUACUGGGCGUAAAGCGCACGCAGGCGGUCCAAUCAGUCUGUAGGGACAGGGCACAGCUUAACUGUGUCAGGCUUACGGAAACUGUUGGACUUGAGGGCUUCAGAGGGAUGGGGAAUUCCGGGGUGGAGUGGUGAAAUGCGUAGAGAUCCGGAAGAACACCAAAGGCGAAGGCACCAUCCGUGGGGAGCACUGACGCUCGGGUGCGAAAGCUAGGGGAGCGAACGGG
rnacentral:rRNA from 1 species